rnacentral:rRNA from 1 species
AUUGAACGCUGGCGGCAGGCCUAACACAUGCAAGUCGAGCGGAUGAAGGGAGCUUGCUCCUGGAUUCAGCGGCGGACGGGUGAGUAAUGCCUAGGAAUCUGCCUGGUAGUGGGGGAUAACGUCCGGAAACGGGCGCUAAUACCGCAUACGUCCUGAGGGAGAAAGUGGGGGAUCUUCGGACCUCACGCUAUCAGAUGAGCCUAGGUCGGAUUAGCUAGUUGGUGGGGUAAAGGCCUACCAAGGCGACGAUCCGCAACUGGUCUGAGAGGAUGAUCAGUCACACUGGAACUGAGACACGGUCCAGACUCCUACGGGAGGCAGCAGUGGGGAAUAUUGGACAAUGGGCGAAAGCCUGAUCCAGCCAUGCCGCGUGUGUGAAGAAGGUCUUCGGAUUGUAAAGCACUUUAAGUUGGGGGGAAGGGCAGUAAGUUAAUACCUUGCUGUUUUGACGUUACCAACAGAAUAAGCACCGGCUAACUUCGU